rnacentral:rRNA from 1 species
UACGAAGGGGGCUAGCGUUGUUCGGAAUCACUGGGCGUAAAGCGCACGCAGGCGGGUCGUUAAGUCAGGGGUGAAAUCCCGAGGCUCAACCUCGGAACUGCCUUUGAUACUGGCGAUCUUUGAGUCUGGGAGAGGUGAGUGGAACUCCGAGUGUAGAGGUGAAAUUCGUAGAUAUUCGGAAGAACACCAGUGGCGAAGGCGGCUCACUGGCCCGGUACUGACGCUCAUGUGCGAAAGCGUGGGGAGCAAACAGG